UACGAAGGGGGCUAGCGUUGCUCGGAAUCACUGGGCGUAAAGGGUGCGUAGGCGGGUCUUUAAGUCAGGGGUGAAAUCCUGGAGCUCAACUCCAGAACUGCCUUUGAUACUGAAGAUCUUGAGUUCGGGAGAGGUGAGUGGAACUGCGAGUGUAGAGGUGAAAUUCGUAGAUAUUCGCAAGAACACCAGUGGCGAAGGCGGCUCACUGGCCCGAUACUGACGCUGAGGCACGAAAGCGUGGGGAAGCAAACAGGG
rnacentral:rRNA from 1 species